CUUUACUAUAGCCUGGAAUUGUGUUCGGGCUUCGCUUACGCAGGAUAGGUGGGAGGCUAUGAAGUUCUGCUUGUGGGCAGAAUCGAGCCAACGGUGAGAUACCACUUUAGCGAGGCUAGAAUUCUAACCCUUGCCCAUGAUCUGGGAAGGAGACAGUUUCAGGGGGGUAGUUUGACUGGGGCGGUCGCCUCCUAAACGAUAACGGAGGCGCGCAAAGGUGCUCUCAGGCUGGUUGGAAAUCAGCCGUAGAGUGUAAAGGCAGAAGGGAGCUUGACUGCAAGACCUACAAGUCGAGCAGGGUGGAAACACGGUCUUAGUGAUCCGACGGUGCCGCAUGGAAGGGCCGUCGCUCAACGGAUAAAAGUUA
rnacentral:rRNA from 1 species